UGCUGUUCUAUGGAAGGACCCAAACGCCAAGGAACUGGCAUCUCUGGAUAAUAGCCAGUGAGAAACCCCCGUUUGUCAAAGACCACUAUGUGAGCACUGCUGUUUCUCAGACCCACCACCAUGACUCACCAUGUCAAUGCUCUUUGGGGAGUGGUGUAUGUAUAAGCGGGUAGGAUGGACUGAGGGUAAAUGAACCACAUCCAACCAUGGGAACAGAUGCAACAGUGAAAAGAACAUCCCCGUCGCUUUGUCUGAGACUGCCACUCAUGCCUGGGGUUGCAAGGCAGACAUUUUUAAAAGUCUAAAAGCUUGGGCAUGUUUAGGAAACAGAUGGGAAACAAAUGAAGCAUUGAGGGUUUGCAAAUUCCAGUUCUUUCUUAUCUGUGUGCUUGG
rnacentral:lncRNA from 1 species